rnacentral:rRNA from 1 species
GACGAACGCUGGCGGCGUGCUUAACACAUGCAAGUCGAACGGAAAGGCCCUGCUUUUGUGGGGUGCUCGAGUGGCGAACGGGUGAGUAACACGUGAGUAACCUGCCCUUGACUUUGGGAUAACUUCAGGAAACUGGGGCUAAUACCGGAUAGGAGCUCCUGCUGCAUGGGGGGGGUUGGAAAGUUUCGGCGGUUGGGGAUGGACUCGCGGCUUAUCAGCUGGUUGGGGGGGUAGUGGCUUACCAAGGCUUUGACGGGUAGCCGGCCUGGGAGGGUGACCGGCCACAUUGGGACUGAGAUACGGCCCGGACUCCAACGGGAGGAAGGAGUGGGGAAUAUUGCACAAUGGGCGGAGGCCUGAUGCAGCAACGCCGCGUGCGGGAUGACGGCCUUCGGGUUGUAAACCGCUUUCGCCUGUGACGAAGCGUGAGGGACGGUAAUGGGUAAAGAAGCACCGGCUACCUACGG